rnacentral:lncRNA from 1 species
GCAUUUGGAAGAAUUCGUUUUAGCCUUCUCAAAAGCCAGGAAGACAAUAUGAGUUUGAAUAUUACAAAAAAAUUAGUCAUUCUCUUACGAGUUAGUUUUAUGUUCCAUAAAGUCACCACAAACACUGCAUUGGCAAAUACUGAACAUUGCUCCUAGGGGAAAUACAGGGUUAGGUUGCUGGGAGUCUCUAGUUACAUUUUUAUUGACCGAUCAAUACAUAAUCUUGCUGUGUGCGUGUUUUAUGUUAACGCAUGUUUAAGACACUUUAUUUAAUAUAUACUGAUUCAUUAACAUUGUACUCAUGGCAAACAGCACUGUAACCCAGACCUAAAAGAAACAUCCAAUAUACAUAUUUUCUACAUAUGGCACAACACAGCCUUCUUUCACUUAGGAACACUAGUCAGCACUUCAUCACUACACUUAGGGGCUUUUAAUAGUGAAAUCACCAACAACAAAAAAAAUACAAAAAUGCAAAAAAAAAAAAAAAAAAGGCACUAAAAAGACCCAAGAAAAGGACACUUAUUCACAGUAUGAAAGAUGAGCAUCCCUUUGUUCCACCUCAGUUGGGAACAUGUGUGUUGGGAGGCUCAAACUUUUCACUUCCCAGCUCAUGUCUGCAAAAGCCCUGUGACUAUUGAUUUUGGGGUUACAAAUAAAGUUUAGCAAGUAGGUAAAUUACAAAUACAGAAUCCAUGAAUGAUAAGGAUCAACAGUUAACUCAUUUGAGAUUAACGAAGAUUAAAAAAAGCCCACCAUCUAGUGGCAACCUUUAAAAUCACACAGCUACUUAAGCAAAAUUGGCAGAACUUUCACAAAAUGAAAAAAUCUUACUCAGUGGUUUUGGUUUUAGGUGUAGUCCAGAUGAAGUCACAGCUCUGAACUUAUGUCAAGAAACAAAUGUUAGCGGUACAUGUACAUAACAAUGCUGCUUUCUAUGUAAAAAUCACAUAGCAUAGGAAGGAAGAGAUUUAAGAAAUUCACAUAGCUACAGCGUUUACUGAUAGCUAUUAUAAUAAUACCUUUGGGAGACGGGCACGCUGGCUCACACCUGUAAUGCUAGCACUUUGGGAGGCUAAGGUGGGCAAACUGAGCUUAGGAGUUCGAGACCAGCCUAGGCUACAUGGCAAAACCCCACCUCUACUAAAAAUACAAAAAACUAGCUGGGUGUGAUGGCACACAUCUGUAGUCCCAGCUAUUCCAGAGGCUGAGGUACAAGAAUCACUUGAAUCUGGGAAGCAGAGAGGCUGCAGUGAUCAUGCCACUUCACUCUAGCCUGGGUGACAGAGUGAGACCAUCUUAGAUAGACAGAUCGAUAAAUAGACAAAUAGACAGAUAAAAACGUACCUUUGGGGACAAAUUAAAUGGUUAUCUAGCCAUUGCUUCUUGAUGUUGUCUUAGCCCAUCUAAACAUACACUGCCAGGGCCUAACAUAAGUACAAAAGGUUCAGCUAUUAUUUGUGGUUAGAGAUAAAGUAGUAUGAAGAAAACUGACAUGCUACUUCAAUUUUUAAAUGUCAAUAUUUAAAUCAUUAAAAAAUAAAAGAAACAAAAAAAAGAGUCUACUUGGGCCACUGUUUAGAGAGAAUUCAACUAUAACCAGGACUGUCAACCCAG